CUUUCUUCUUCUUUCUUCUUCUUCUUCUGUUUUCUCCUCUCAUCUUCUAUGCCGAUCUCAAUCUCAGAAAUUUGAGGCUUUUGCGUGAGAGUUUCAUAGAAAGCUUAUUAGCUGGUUUGAUUAGAGAUGAAGGUGAUGGUACGGUGGUUGAUUGAGCACAGGAAGUUAAUGAUAUGGUUGCUACCGAGAAGAUCGAAAUAGGGUUUAAUAUGAAUUUGAGAAGUGAAUCGAGAUGCUGAUGGAUGAAGAAAAGAAGGGUUGUUGUUAAAUCGAUGAAGUGAAAGUGUUCUGAUGUUGAAUCGAAGAGAAAAGAGUCCCUGGAAUUAGAACUGUGGUGUUGAGUUUAACAAGAAGAAGAUGAUGCUUGACUUGUUAUCAAUGGAAAGUUAGAAGUUAGAGUUUCAAGCUGAAUAUCUCAGUUGGAUGAAGAUGAUUGUAAUUGGUGGUUGGAGUCUGGUUACUUUAAAGUUUGUAUUGAUGCUGACAAGAAAUAGAGAUGGCGGAUGGUCUGUGAAAUGGUAACUACAGGUGUUGUCGAAUGCAUGGAAAGAAUUGCAGGUCUGUUGAUAGAGAAAUGGUAAUGGAUCUGUUAAGUUGCAGUUGAAGUUAAUCUAACUGGUAGAGACUCAGUUUGGUUGUACAUGGUUACUUGAGUCGGAGCAAUUGGUUUUAGUGGUAUCAUGGAAGAAUGAGCAGAAGGUGAGAUCGGUAUUGCUUUGUUGGUGGAGCUGCAGUUGAUUUCAAUGAAUGUGAUGUUGCCGGAAACAUGGUCUGGUGAUUGUGGGAUGUUUGAAUCUCAGAAGUGUUCGGUUUAUACAAGGACUGAAGCUACAAAGAAAUGAUGUUGAUGUUUUGCAGGGAAGCUACAUCUAGGGAUGAAUGGAGUUGACCGUGAGUGAUUGUUUUAAUUGAGCUAGAUGUUGUUGUGGAGUGUGCAUUUGACUAAUGAACUACAUAGAUGGAAUUGAUAAACUAUGAAUGAAGGAUAAUGGUUUGUUUGAGCUGAGUUUGAGGAAAUUUAUGUUGUUGGUUAUAAAGCUUUGGUGAAAUUACUGAAGUUGUCAGUGUAUGUGAGUUAUUGGUUUUCGUAUCUUAAAUGAGUUAUAAGAUUCAGAUCUAGUAGUGGAACUAGUUAUAGUCAGUAGUGUUGUAAAUACUAUAAAGAAGAUGGGUUGAAUGAAUGUAACUGGAAUGUAGGUGAUGGUGUUGAUGUUUUGAACUGUAUAUUAGUUAGUGGUAGGUUUGUAUUUGAGUUACGGGGUUUGGGUGUUUGCAUUUGUGUUGCAUCUUGUUUGUGCAUUAGAAGUUGCCUGAGCAAGGGCCUUGGUUUGUAUAA